rnacentral:rRNA from 1 species
GACGAACGCUGGCGGCGCGCCUAACACAUGCAAGUCGAACGAGCGAGAGAGAGCUUGCUUUCUCAAGCGAGUGGCGAACGGGUGAGUAACGCGUGAGGAACCUGCCUCAAAGAGGGGGACAACAGUUGGAAACGACUGCUAAUACCGCAUAAGCCCACAGGUCGGCAUCGACCAGAGGGAAAAGGAGCAAUCCGCUUUGAGAUGGCCUCGCGUCCGAUUAGCUAGUUGGUGAGGUAACGGCCCACCAAGGCAACGAUCGGUAGCCGGACUGAGAGGUUGAACGGCCACAUUGGGACUGAGACACGGCCCAGACUCCUACGGGAGGCAGCAGUGGGGAAUAUUGCACAAUGGGGGAAACCCUGAUGCAGCGACGCCGCGUGGAGGAAGAAGGUCUUCGGAUUGUAAACUCCUGUUGUCGAGGAAGAUAAUGACGGUACUCAACAAGGAAGUGACGGCUAACUACGUG